GUGUGUGUGUGUGUGUGUGUAUUUAGCAGUCUGUGUGUGUAUUCAGCAGACUGUGUACUCAGCAGUCUGUGUGUGUAUUCAGCAGUCUGCUAAAUACAGACAGACUGCUAAAUACACAAACAGACUG
rnacentral:miRNA from 1 species